GCGCAGCUUUGGCGCUUACGGAAUGGCUGAAUAAACACUCAUCAACGGUUUUCUUUUCCCUUAUCCGUUUGAGUA
rnacentral:sRNA from 1 species